GUCUUAAUAGUUAAAUAUUAUAACAUUGUCUUUUCGUGACAAAAGUGGCUAGAAGCCUUUAGAUU
rnacentral:tRNA from 1 species